CAUGGAAGAAGCUUGCUUCUUCUGAUGGCGACCGGCGCACGGGUGCGUAACGCGUAUCAAACCUGCCUCAUACUCGGGGAUAGCCUUGCGAAAGUAAGAUUAAUACCCGAUGUUGUUGCUUUCUCGCAUGGGAGAGUAACCAAAGAUUUAUCGGUACGAGAUGGUGAUGCGCCCGAUUAGGUAGUAGGCGGGGUAACGGCCCACCUAGCCUUCGAUCGGUAGGGGUUCUGAGAGGAAGGUCCCCCACACUGGAACUGAGACACGGUCCAGACUCCUACGGGAGGCAGCAGUGAGGAAUAUUGGUCAAUGGGCGAGAGCCUGAACCAGCCAAGUAGCGUGCAGGAUGACGGCCCUCCGGGUUGUAAACUGCUUUUAGUUGGGAAUAAAAAAAGGGACUUGUCCCUUCUUGUAUGUACCUUCAGAAAAAGGACCGGCUAAUUCCGUGCCAGCAGCCGCGGUAAUGCGGAAGGUCCAGGCGUUAUCCGGAUUUAUUGGGUUUAAAGGGAGCGUAGGCGGAUUGUUAAGUCAGCGGUUAAAGGGUGUGGCUCAACCAUGCAUUGCCGUUGAAACUGGCGAUCUUGAGUGCAGACAGGGAUGCCGGAAUUCGUGGUGUAGCGGUGAAAUGCUUAGAUAUCACGAAGAACUCCGAUCGCGAAGGCAGGUGUCCGGGCUGCGACUGACGCUGAGGCUCGAAAGUGUGGGUAUCAAACAGGAUUCGAUACCCUGGUAGUCCACACAGUAAACGAUGUAUACUCGCGGUUUGCGAUAGAUUGUAAGCCGCCAAG
rnacentral:rRNA from 1 species